rnacentral:rRNA from 1 species
GAUGAACGCUGGCGGCGUGCCUAAUACAUGCAAGUCGAGCGAACAGACGAGGAGCUUUCUCCUCUGACGUUAGCGGCGGACGGGUGAUUAACACGUGGAUAACCUACCUAUAAGACUGGGAUAACUUCGGGAAACCGGAGCUAAUACCGGAUAAUAUAUUGACCCUCAUGGGUCAAUAGUGAAAGACGGUUUUGCUGUCACUUAUAGAUGGAUCCGCGCCGCAUUAACUAGUUGGUAAGGUAACGGCUUACCAAGGCGACGGUGGGUAGCCGACCCGAAGGGGGUGAUCAGCAGCGGGGAAGUGAGGACGCGCCCAGACUCCUACGGGAGGCAGCAGUAGGGAAUCUUCCGCGAUGGACGAGAGCCUGACGGAGCAACGCCGCGUGAGUGAUGAAGGUCUUCGGAUCGUAAAACUCUGUUAUUAGGGAAGAACAAAUGUGUAAGUAACUAUGCACGUCUUGACGGUACCUAAUCAGAAAGCCACGGCUAACUACGUG